GUUUUACUUUUUAAAAAUAGUCUUUUAUUACUAAGAAUACUAUUGAUUUUUUUAAAUAAUUGUAUAAUCAUUUAUUGUGUUAUUGUAUAUAUUUUUUAUUGCUUACUCUUUUCACACACCUAAAUCAGUUUCAAGGCUGCCUUGAAACUAAUUUUGGUGUGUGAAAAGAGUAAGUAAUUUAAAUUAUCUUUAGCAGAACUUUGUCUUGAUGGCAAAGUUCAGCUAAAGAUAAUUUAAUAUGGUGAAAUAAAAAUUAAAUGACACUUUUAUAUGGGGAUUCAGCAUAAAAUGCAAAAAAAAAAAAAUAUUAAAAACAAAAACAGCAUUUUCUCAGCUUUUUUCCAUACCCAGAAUUUACCAUAUAACCACCUUAAGCUCUAUGAUACAUAAAAAUUAUAUACAUGUUUUAUCUAUGCAAAUAAUAAUAAAUGUAUCUAGACAUUUUUUAUAGGUUAAUAGUGAUUUUUUAAAUGAGUUAAUUGUGUUUAAAAGCCAACCCAAUUAAAUAGUUGUAUUAUGAUUGUUUAAUUUAGUGCAUUGUUGUAUUAUGAUUGUUUAAUUUAGUGCAUCGUGGGACCUAAAAAGAAAACAUUUCUACUUGAUGUUAAAGCUAAUAGUUAGUUAAAUUGUAAUUUUACACUACCAGCUCAUCAAAUAUUGGUUGUAGCAAUGGACGCCUACUGCAUAUAUUGGCAACUAACAGGGAUUCAUAUUAACUAUAGAAGUAAUCAAUAAGUAUUUUAACAUCAAAGUUUGUACUAAUUAGAUUCUUCAACUAGUAAAAACAUCAAAAAAGUUUGUAAACCAUUUUUCACGAGAUUCAUAACAAUUAUUGACAUCUGCAACAUGCUCUGUGCAUACCAAAUAAUAACAUCUGCUAUGGCACAAACAUCGCAAUCAAUUCCAACCUCAAUUCACUUUGCUAUAUGUUCUUCAUUUCCCUUUCAACAAAUCAGUGUUUUAUCUGUAUCAAAUAGUGGUCACUUACAUCUUUUAUCUAGUCCUGCUAUAGAAACCUCUUCUCAUGAACCACUAUCCAGUUAGAGAGCUGACUAGUUAAGUCCCAGAAAAAGGUUAUGAGAAAGAGAUUUAAAUUUUUUGUUUGAAACAACAGUUAACCAUUUAACGAAACCAAGUUUUCUUAUCAAAAGGCAAUUUUAUGCCUACAACUUGCUGACAAAAAUUAUGCAAUUCUUGUACUGCAAAAUGACAUUGAUACUGAUUUUACAGGAAGAGUUGGAGGAAAUUCAGCAAGUAACACAAAACACCUAAACUCAAAAACACUACUCAGCAGAUAUUAGAACACUUAUAUACGACAUGCUAGUGUGUUAAGUUCCUGGUUUCAUUCACUACACAAUUCAUUUUCUAUACAAUUCUGCAAUACAAACUUUGCUACAAGUAUGCAAAAGUGAUCCAAAGGAUUUUGGGUUCUUUUUGGACCAACACGAGUUGCCCAGAAGAUUGCUACCAUGCUAUAGAGGGAACAGAAUACAUAUGCUUUUCCACACAUGUGGUACUUUGAUCUAUAAUUAUUCCAUAUUGAAAAUGUUUUUGUGUUCUGGCUUGACAUUAUGUGAAUGUCUGCGAAAUGGUUUGUUUCAAGACUUUACAUCUGAAACAGGUUUUAACUAAUAGCAUGCUAAAAGAUUGCAAUUUGCUACUGUCUUAAAGUCCUCAAGAUUAUAUUUAAUAAUUCAGUUACACAACGUGAUGAGUACUACCCGCUUGCUUUGAUGUUUGUUAAUCUUCUUCAUUUCAAUAUUAAAUCGAUAUCAUUAUAUGUGGUUUCCAUCGCGUACUAAAGAUUUGACUCUUUCUAUGGAUGUCACAGUUUUAUUUACUUCAAAAACUAGGCUUUUUUCAAAGCCACAAUUCUGUUGAAAACAUUACUAAGCAAAUAAAAUGACUAUUAUAGUGUAAAUUUAUUGUGAAAGAAGUAUGUUUAGAAAAAAAUAUUUGUAUUUUUUGCAGUUUGUUGGAGUUUAUAUAUUGUUAGAUAGAUAGAUAUGUAUAUGGGCCCACGGAAGGAAAGAAAAAGGGGAGCCGUGGUGGGCAUGACCUCCCUUUC